rnacentral:lncRNA from 1 species
UUUCUACUUCCCAACCAUCCCCUCCCCUCUUCUCAACACAUGCACACACAGCCUCAACCACUUCUACCGUCGAGAAUCCUGUUGCCACCGUUGAGGUUUCCCUUUCCACCGUUGUUGGCACCACUUCCUCCGUUGAGAACCCUAGCAAAUCUGUCGCAUCUUUGGCCGUUGUUGCAAUCAGUUCUUCUGCAACAACCACAGCCUUGACCCACUUUCUUUCCCAAUUAUUGCUUUCUGUUUCCCCUUCCCCAAUUCUCUUGCUCUACUAGAUCUGAUCUCAAAGAAGCUAGAGGUAGCUGUUCCAGAUCUCUCUUACGAUUACUCAAGCGUAUAUAUGCUUUUGAUGAUUUGAUAUAGUUGCUUUUAUUGUAUUGUGAUUUGAAUAUGUAUCUUUGUGGAAUAGAAUAGUUUCUUAAAGGUUUUUCUCCAGCAAAUGAACUGAUUCAGUGUAAUUUCAAUUUAUGACUGCAAAAGCAUGUGAUAAAAUCAUAAAGAAUUAAAUUUCGUAGGAUUCUUGAUGUUCAGUGAUCUGCUCCUUUUGUUAUUGUUGCUUUUGACUUGAGUUUUCCCCCUUUUUUCUCCAAGAUGGUGGUUUUGGUUGAAGGAAUAAUGGAGCUCAUUUGAUAGGUUUAAAUUCGUUUUGCCUGUGAGUAUGAUACAAGUUGGAUUUAUGUGAUAAAAGUGGCGAAUAUAACUAUGUUAUCUGGAGUGCACAUUCGAAAGAGUAUGGCAUGUUUGGGAUGGUGGACUAGGCUGCCGAAUCAUUAUUAAUUGAAAAAAAAAGGUAGUUAAAAUCUUAAUGAUUGUAGUGAUAAGUCCUAUUUAGUACCACAAAAAUUUAUAAUGAUGGAGUAGACAUUUUAUGCACUAGCAGCGUGAAUUCUUUGUUGACACAAAAAGCCUUCCUAGUCUACAAUGAUGCACUACUUCAUGAGUUAGAUAGGAGUGUAGUACACGUGGCACACUUUUAUCUGCACUUCAAGUAUUCGUUGGCUUUUGUCUGUUUUGGCAUUUGAAUUUUUGAAAAGAAAAUGGAGAGACCUCAGCAUAGGAAGUCCAAGAAUGCUACAAGCAUUGAAGGUAAAAAAAUUCCAUCUCUCGUUCUACGACUAUAUAUUUUGAUAGAAUAUUUUUUCAAUGGUUAAGCACUUUGGUCUUUCGUGAAGACAAAUUUUGUUUUGGUUUCGUUCGAGGAGUGUAAGAGACUAAAAGUUUUGAUUUUCCUUUUUGCUUGAGGUUGGUUUAAUGAGUUUUGUAUUUGAAGAUAAUUCGAUAAUGAAAGAAAAAGGGAAAAUAUUGAAUUUGUUCUUCUUUGGUUUGUUUUCCAUUUAGGAGAAAUUUGAAAUGAAAAGCUUUGGAUCUCUGAAAAUGAAAAGGAAAAUCAAAAUUCUCAGUUUUUGUUCCCCUUCACUAUGAUGGCUUUAUAAAAAAUUAUGAAGUCUAAAAUUUCAGAAAAUUGGUAGUAUUUUCUUUGUACUGUAGUUCCUGAGUUUUUCUUUAAGUAAUCGGAAUUUCUUAGCUUCACUCUCUCAUUCCUUCUGAAUUUUGGUAUUUGAAGGGACAGAUUUGAUAAGAAAAGGGAAGAGGUUUAGGAGUUUUAAUUAAAUAAUUAUGUUUGCUACUUUCACGACAUUGCCAAAAUUUAAUGGAAUUAUUCUUUUUAUUUUCCAAAUAUAAAAAAUAAAAAUAAAAUAAAUAAAAGGACCUACGGCAACGUUUGUUAAACGUUGCAAAAGCCUAUCAUUUGCAACGUUGCAACUUCAUCUCUAAUUACUUUUUAAAUAACCUUUGUAUCGAGCUUUCGACCGAUGACUACCAAGUUAGUUGACUUUAAGGCACUAAAAUUUUAGAUACCCUUGUAAGUUUAAUUACUAGAGUCAAGGGUUUAAAGAGAAGUUUCAAAUUUCAAAAGAAAUACGUACUUUGAUUAGUGCAAUGUCCAUUAUCAAACACCUAUUCAAGCAAACUGAUCUCCAACUUAAGACUUUCGCUCAAUUAAUCUAAGACAAUCCAUACAUAUGAAAUCCCCAUUCAAAUUCGUAAUUUCCUACAAUAGUAAAAUCACCCCCCAAACUAUACUAAAUUGGUUUAAGGAUCAUUAAUUUAAGUUAGUUCUGGGUAUAACAUCUAUAUUCAAUCAUUUAAUCUAUCCAGCAUAUGAAUCAACUUAUUGGAUCAUGAUGCAAAACUCAAUUCUAGUGUGCAUAUAAUAUCAAGUUUUGCAAGGCUAAGUAUCAAUUAUUUAAGCAUGUAACCUAUCUACAGUUUAUAUAUCAAUACCAAGCCCUUGUUUGAGCCCCAUUUUAGAGAAAGAAUGUAUUUUUGAAUAGUAGAUUGAUAGAGAAUGUGUGAUUAAAAAUUAAGAAAAAGUUUUUGAUUUACGUGUAAUAUUAUUUUAUUGAAAAAUGUGUAGUUGAAAAUGAGUUUCCAAAAAUAAAUUUUUAGAAAAAUGGAGCUUAAACAAGGACCAAGUCUCAAAUUAAAUCAUCAUUACCGGCCAGACUAUUUAACCCACACAAGCACACAACCUAAUAAAAGAAAAUAUUUUUGAAUUUCUUCAAAUUUUUAGAAUCUUUUUUUUUUUCUUUUUUAAUUUUUUCAUGUAUACAAAAGCAGUGCUAAAAACAUACUCAUUAAAACACACAAAAACAUGUAAAAAUAAACAAAAACUCAAAAGUUUUCAGUGAACUGCUUUGUAGUUUACUCAAAUAGAGAUGAAGAAGCACUUCUAGCCUUCAAAACCCGAAUCACUUCAGACCCUUAUGGCAUCUUGGCCGAUAACUGGCAGACUACUGCGUCAAUUUGCAACUGGAUUGAUGUUUCUUGCACUGAGCAUAACCCUGUUGAUGAUAAGCCGAAAAUCAUACAGACAACUACACAAGAGCAAAAAUUCAUUAGGCAUUUCAUGGAGAAGGAUUUCUUACCAAGAAAUUCAAGAAGCAACAAAUGCCUUCAGUGAAAUUAACAUACUUGGAAGUGGAACUUUUGGUUCAGUUUAUGAAGGAACACUUUUUGAUGGAUUGAAUGUUGCAGUAAAAGUAUUCAAUUUCUAGUCAGAAAGAGUAACCAAGAGUUUUGAUAUACAGAGUGAAGUAUUGAGCACCAUUCGCCAUAGGAAUUUAAUCAAAACCAUUGGCUGUUGCAGUAAAACUGAGGUCAAAGCCUUGAUACUGGAGUAGAUGCCUAAUGGGAGCCUGCAGAAAUGGUUAUAUUCACAAAUAUUUCCUGGACAUGCUAAAAAGAUUAAAUAUAGCAACUGAUGUUGCAUUGGCUUUAGAAUAUCUGCAUCAUUAUGUGACAUUCAGUCAUUCACUGUCCUUAUUGUGAUUUAAAGCCCAGAAAUGUCCUUCUUGAUGAAGAUGUGGUUGGUGCACGUUGCUGAUUUUGGUAUAGCCAAACUCUUCGGUCAAGGGGAGUCAAUGGCUCAAACGAAUAUAUGGCACCAGGUUGUGUUCCUUACUGAGAUUCAGAAUGUUCUGAAUUUAUUUAUAUUCAAAUAAACUUGGGAAUUUUUCAACUGAUUCUCAGCUUUCAAUUCUGUCAACUGUUCUUGUAAAUGUUAAAUGCCAAUGUAGAAAAUGGAUCUAGAAGGAUAUGUACACGAGGAAGAAGCGAAUAGAUGAAAUAUUUGGUGAAAAAAUGAGCUUGAAAAGC